rnacentral:rRNA from 1 species
GACAGAGGUGCCAAGCGUUAGGCGGAAUCACUGGGCUUAAAGCGUGUGUAGGUGGAGGCCUAAGUACCUUGUGAAAUCCCACGGCUCAACCGUGGAACUGCUCGGUAUACUGGGUCUCUUGAGCCACUUAGGGGCUACCGGAACAAAUGGUGGAGCGGUGAAAUGCGUAGAUAUCAUUUGGAACGCCAAUGGUGAAAACAGGUAGCUGGGAGUGUGCUGACACUGAGACACGAAAGCCAGGGGAGCGAACGGG